GAUGAACGCUGGCGGCGUGCCUAAUACAUGCAAGUCGAGCGAACGGACGAGAAGCUUGCUUCUCUGAUGUUAGCGGCGGACGGGUGAGUAACACGUGGAUAACCUACCUAUAAGACUGGGAUAACUUCGGGAAACCGGAGCUAAUACCGGAUAAUAUUUUGAACCGCAUGGUUCAAAAGUGAAAGACGGUCUUGCUGUCACUUAUAGAUGGAUCCGCGCUGCAUUAGCUAGUUGGUAAGGUAACGGCUUACCAAGGCAACGAUGCAUAGCCGACCUGAGAGGGUGAUAGGCCACACUGGAACUGAGACACGGUCCAGACUCCUACGGGAGGCAGCAGUAGGGAAUCUUCCGCAAUGGGCGAAAGCCUGACGGAGCAACGCCGCGUGAGUGAUGAGGGUCUUCGGAUCGUAAAACUCUGUUAUUAGGGAAGAACAUAUGUGUAAGUAACUGUGCACAUCUUGACGGUACCUAAUCAGAAAGCCACGGCUAACUACGUG
rnacentral:rRNA from 1 species